AUGCAGAUCCACAACCAGGAGGGUGCCGCGCGCUCGACGGUGCUGAUGUUACACAUCUACGACGGUGUCCUGCGCUUCUACAGCGGGGCGGACGUCGAGCCCGACAUCUACAACCGGUGGUUCCGCCGAAACGUGGUGCACGAUGUCCGGGCGUCAACGGUGGCCGUGUACGUCGACGGCAAGCACAAGUUCGGCACCAGCUUGACACCCAGCAAGUCCUACUACUUCAAGUUCGGGGUCUACACUAAGCACUGA
rnacentral:rRNA from 1 species